AGUGAACGCUGGCGGUAGGCCUAACACAUGCAAGUCGAACGGCAGCACAGUAAGAGCUUGCUCUUACGGGUGGCGAGUGGCGGACGGGUGAGGAAUACAUCGGAAUCUACUUUUUCGUGGGGGAUAACGUAGGGAAACUUACGCUAAUACCGCAUACGACCUACGGGUGAAAGCAGGGGAUCUUCGGACCUUGCGCGAUUGAAUGAGCCGAUGUCGGAUUAGCUAGUUGGCGGGGUAAAGGCCCACCAAGGCGACGAUCCGUAGCUAGUCUGAGAGGAUGAUCAGCCACACUGGAACUGAGACACGGGCCAGACCCCUACGGGAGGCAGCAGUGGGGAAUAUUGGACAAUGGGCGCAAGCCUGAUCCAGCCAUACCGCGUGGGUGAAGAAGGCCUUCGGGUUGUAAAGCCCUUUUGUUGGGAAAGAAAAGCAGCAGGUUAAUACCCCGCUGUUCUGACGGUACCCAAAGAAUAAGCACCGGCUAACUUCGU
rnacentral:rRNA from 1 species